CCCACUGACAACUUUGUAAAGAAUGUCUCC
rnacentral:piRNA from 1 species